GGGGUGAAGUCACCAGGAGGCCGGGGCACACUGUGGCCGAGCCAGGCCCGAGCUCAGGUUUCCUGACUCGGGCUCAGAGCGUGCUCCCAGCCCUGGGGCCACUCUGCUCCCAGCUCAGAACAGCUGUCGUUCCCUUUAGCUUCUAAACCCGCAGAGGGUACAGGCAGGAUCUUCCGAGGGGAUUGACGUCCCCACGGCAGUUAGCACGGCCUGUGGGUGGAGCUAUUGCCGAGAACGCUUGAGCCUUUGCCGGAAGCUUCGGACUUGGGUUUUGAAAGUCUACUUGCCGUGGCCUGUGAGAGUUUGUCCCAGCUCCUUUUUUGUCACUCCUCUGUGACCGCGCUCAGCCAGCAGGGAGGCCAGAGGUGCGCAUUUUGGACCACUUUGGAAUCCUUCCUCCAAACACCAUCUGGUGGCUCACCCUCACAGCUGAGAGAGCAUGCAUGAUGGGGAGGAGCAGAGAGAGAGAGAAGGUUCAUGCGGCUCUGUCAGUACAGAGUCCGACUUGCGGCUCAAACACAGGAACUGUGAGAUCAUGACCUGAGCGGAAAUCAAGAGUUGGACGCCCAACCAACCGAGCCACCCAGGCGCCCCAAAACCAUACUCUUUAGAUGGUAAAAGGACAAAGAGAAACAAUGCUCACAUUCCCAUGAAGUGGAAGAGAGAGGCUGUGCGCAGCCAUGGGAGCACCAGUCCGCAGGCCGUGAAAAGAACAAGUGCACAGGCCCUAAGUCUGGAAUGUGCUUGGCGGGACUGCAGAACAAGGAGGCCAGCAUUAUCCAGUCAGAGUGCAACAAGGGGAGAGGACGAGCACACGAGACGAGAGGUAACCAAGGACCGACCACGGAAGUCCCACACGCCCAGGCGAGGAACUUUGGAUUUUAUUCCGAGAGUGACAAGAGGCCGCUGGAAGCCUGAGAGCAGGAAGUGCUAUGAUUCGAUUUAUAGUUUGGAAGAAAGAGACCGACUGUUCUAUGGAGAAGGGAAGUAGGGAAGCCGAAGCAGGGAUUCCUGUUACUGUGGUGUCUGGGCACAAGAUAAAGGUGGCAUGGACCAGGGCGGGGGUGAUGGGGGCACGCAGGGUGUCGGAGUCAGAGCUGGUAGAUUUUUAUAGGGAGAACCCAGACCGGAUUUGUGGAUGGAUUUGUGGAUGGACUGCAUGGAGAGUAAGCAGAAAAGGUCAAUAAUGUGUAUGAUAUAUUUUUUUAAUUAGGAUACACAAUUCUAUAGACAGUAUGGUCAAAACUCUUCAAAAUGUGUUCUUGGGGCACCUGGCUGGCUCCGUUGGUGGGGCAUGUGACACUUGAUCUCUGGGUUGUGAAUUCUGGCCCCAUGUUGGGUGUAGAGAGUCCUUAAAAAUAAAAUCUUUAGGGGCGCCUGAGUGGUUCAGCCGGCCAAGUGUCCGACUCUAGGUUUUAGCUCAGGUGAUGAUCUCACGGUUUGUGGGUUUGAGCCCUGCCUUGGGCUCUGUGCUGAUGGCAUGGAGCGUUCUUGGGAUUCUGUCCCUCCAUCUCUGCCUCUCCCCUGUUCAUGCGCACUCUCAUUCUCAAAAUAAAUAAAUAAACAUUAACAAAAUUAAAAUAAAAUAAGAUCUUAA